rfam:Myotis davidii contig10530, whole genome shotgun sequence.
GGCAGUUCUCAGGUGACGCACCCUGGAAUCGGGCUCCCUCCUCUCUGGUUCUGGGUGCAUCACCCGAGAACUGAG